GGAAAGUUUAUUGCACUGAGGGCAUUCAUUAAAAGAAUAAAAAAUCAACAAAUAAAUGACCUAACACUACGUGUCAAACCUCUAGAAAAAGAAGAACAAAUCAACAUCAAAAGCAGAAGACAGGAUAUUAAAAUCAGAGCUGAAAUUAAUGAAACUGAAACAAAAGAAACAAUUGAAAAAAAUGACCAAAAAGUUGGUUCUUUGAAAAAAAUAAAUAAAAUAGAUAAACCUUGGCCAUGCUAUUGAAAAGUUACUAAAUCAAGGUGAAGAAUAUCACAAUAAACAUGUCUGAAAGAGAGAAGAUAAUUAGAAACUUUUUUGAAAAUUUAUACUCUAAUAAAACAGAAAAUAUCAAAGACAUCGACAAGUUUCUAGAGACAAAUGACCUACCCAAACUGAACGAGAAGGUCAUACAUGAUAUAAACAGAUCAAUUUCAAGUAAUGAAAUAGAAAAUGCCAUCAAAAGCCUACCAACCAAGCAAGGCCUAGGACCAGAUGGAUUCUCAGCCGAGUUCUACAAAACUUUCAAAGAAGAAUUAACACCAGUACUUCUCAAAGUAUUCUAUGAAACAGAAAAGGAGGGAACCCUUCCAAACUCAUUUUAUGAGGCUGAUAUCACCCUGAUACAAAAACCAGACAAAGACACAUCAAGGAAAGAAAACUUCAGACCAAUAUCCCUGAUGAACAUAGAUGCAAAAAUUCUCAAUAAAAUUCUGGCAAAUCACAUACAAAAACAUAUUAAAAAGAGAUUGCACCAUGAUCAAGUGGGAUUCAUCCCAGGGAUGCAGAGUUGGUCACCCUAUGGAUAUCAAUAAACAUAAUUCAUCAUAUCAAUAGAAUUAAAAACAAGAAUCAUAUGAUCAUCUCAAUAGAUGCAAAAAUUUUAAAAAAGCAUUUGACAAAAUUCAGCACAUGUUCAUAUUCAAAACUAGGGAUAACAGGAACAUUUCUCAACAUUGUAAAAACUAUCUAUGCUAAGACCCAGACCAACAUUUUCCUAAAUGGAGAAAAAUUGAAAGCAUUCCCUCUAAAAACUGGAUUCCCUCUUUUACCAUUUCUGUUUAACAUAGUUAUUGAAACUUUACCCAGAACAGUUACACAAACAAAAUAAAUUAAAGGGAUAUAGAUAGGAAAGAUGAACUCAAACUAUCACUAUUUGACAACAACAUGAUUCUAUACCUAAAAGAUCCAAAUAAUUCCACCAGAAAACUUAUAGAACUAAUAAAUAAGUUCAGAAAAGUAGCAGGAUAUAAAAU
rnacentral:lncRNA from 1 species